AGCCCGAGUCGAGAGCUGGCUUCUGCCGGCUGCAGCUGUGCACUUUGUUGAAGUUCUAAUAUAAUCUCCAUAUGGUUCUCACUGCCUCACAUAGGUGAUUUGGCCUUUCGGUUCAGUGAACGCGUGCAGCAGAACACUUUUCAGGCUCAGGGAACUUCAAAGAGAGGAAAGAAAAAUGUCUAAACCUGAAGGAAAGGAUGCGGUGCUAUGAAAUGCUGUCUUCUUGACCUGACAUGGCUUUUUCACCCAUGAAUCCACGUCAUCCAUAGAAACCUGCAAAGCUGGGCCCAUGAGCAUUCUGUCUUGGACAGAAGAGGAGAUUAAAAUGUUUUAGGUCUCUGUGAGGAGCUAUGAACAGCUAAAGAAAGACAACUCCCCAUCCACCGUGAAAGUAUUACAUCCUCAACUGGAAGCCUGCCAUCAACUUCUCUCACCAGAACACCAAGAGAGAAUAUUCUGCUGUCCUUGAACCCUCCUCCUGCAUCAGUCUAUGUGGUACCAAAGUAUUGACAGAGAGCCCC